AAAGGGUGCGUAGGUGGCCUGUUAAGUCAGGGGUGAAAGACGGUAGCUUAACUAUCGCAGUGCCCUUGAUACUGAUGGGCUUGAAUGAACUAGAGGUAGGCGGAAUGUGACAAGUAGCGGUGAAAUGCAUAGAUAUGUCACAGAACACCAAUUGCGAAGGCAGCUUACUAUGGUUUUAUUGACACUGAGGCACGAAAGCGUGGGGAUCAAACAGGAUUAGAUACCCCGGU
rnacentral:rRNA from 1 species